AGAGUUUGAUCAUGGCUCAGAACGUACGCUGGCGGCACGCCUAAUACAUGCAAGUCGAACGCAGUAGCAAUACUGAGUGGCAGACGGGUGAGUAUAAUGUGGGUAUCUGCCUUUUGGUUUGGAAUAACUCGGGGAAACCUGAGCUAAUACCGGAUAAGCCCUUACGGGGAAAGAUUUAUCGCCGAAAGAUGAGCCCGCACUUGAUUAGCUUGUUGGUGAGGUAAAAGCUCACCAAGGCAACGAUCGAUAGCUGUUCUUAGAGGAAGACCAGCCACAUUGGGACUGAGACACGGCCCAGACUCCUACGGGAGGCAGCAGUAAGGAAUCUUGCACAAUGGGGGAAACCCUGAUGCAGCGAUGCCGCGUGAGUGAAGAAGGCCCUUGGGUUGUAAAACUCUUUCGUCGGGGAAGAAAAUGACUGUACCCGAAUAAGAAGGUCCGGCUAACUUCGUGCCAGCAGCCGCGGUAAUACGAAGGGACCUAGCGUAGUUCGGAAUUACUGGGCUUAAAGAGCUCGUAGGUGGUUAAAAAAGUUGAUUGUGAAAUCCCAAGGCUCAACCUUGGAACUGCAAUCAAAACUUUUUAGCUUGAGUGUGAUAGAGGAAAGUGGAAUUUCUAGUGUAGAGGUGAAAUUCGUAGAUAUUAGAAAGAACAUCAAAUGCGAAGGCAACUUUCUGGGUCACUACUGACACUGAGGAGCGAAAGCAUGGGUAGCGAAGAGGAUUAGAUACCCUCGUAGUCCAUGCCGUAAACGAUGUGUGCUAGACGUUGGAAAUAUAUUUUUCAGCGUCGCAGCGAAAGCAUUAAGCACACCGCCUGGGGAGUACGACCGCAAGGUUAAAACUCAAAUGAAUUGACGGGGACCCGCACAAGCAGUGGAGCAUGUG
rnacentral:rRNA from 1 species